rnacentral:rRNA from 1 species
GACGAACGCUGGCGGCGUGCCUAAUACAUGCAAGUCGUGCGGACCUUGUUGAAAGCUUGCUUUUAAAAGGUUAGCGGCGGACGGGUGAGUAACACGUGGGCAACCUGCCUGUAAGACUGGGAUAACGCCGGGAAACCGGGGCUAAUACCAGAUCGUUUUUUCCUCCGCAUGGAGGAAAAAGGAAAGGCGGCUUCGGCUGCCACUUACAGAUGGGCCCGCGGCGCAUUAGCUAGUUGGCGGGGUAAUGGCCCACCAAGGCAACGAUGCGUAGCCGACCUGAGAGGGUGAUCGGCCACAUUGGGACUGAGACACGGCCCAAACUCCUACGGGAGGCAGCAGUAGGGAAUCUUCCGCAAUGGGCGAAAGUCUGACGGAGCAACGCCGCGUGAGUGAAGAAGGCCUUCGGGUCGUAAAACUCUGUUGCCGGGGAAGAACAAGUGCCGUUCGAACAGGGCGGCGCCUUGACGGUACCCGGCCAGAAAGCCACGGCUAACUACGUG